rnacentral:rRNA from 1 species
AUUGAACGCUGGCGGCAGGCCUAACACAUGCAAGUCGAACGAGUGGCGGACGGGUGAGUAAUGUCUGGGAAACUGCCUGAUGGAGGGGGAUAACUACUGGAAACGGUAGCUAAUACCGCAUACCCUCAGAUGUGCCCAGAUGGGAUUAGCUUGUUGGUGGGGUAACGGCUCACCAAGGCGACGAUCCCUAGCUGGUCUGAGAGGGUGACCAGCCACACUGGAACUGCGACACGGGCCAGACGCCAACGGGAGGCAGCAUUGGGGAAUUUUGUACAAUGGGCGCAAGCCUGAUGCAGACAUGCCGCUGGUAUGAAGAGGGCCUUCGGGUUGUAAAGUACUUUAAGCGGGGAGGCGUUACCCGCAGAAGAAGCCCCGGCUAACUCCGUGCCAGCAGCCGCGGUAAUAC